rnacentral:tRNA from 1 species
UAUAUUUUAGUGUAAGAUGCACAAGAAAUUUUGAUUUUCUUAGGGAUAGUUUAAUUCUAUCGAAUAUAA